GAGCGCAACCCUUGUCCUUAGUUACCAGCACGUUAUGGUGGGCACUCUAAGGAGACGUGCCGGUGACAAACCGGAGGAAGGUGGGGAUGACGUCAAGUCAUCAUGGCCCUUACGGCCAGGGCUACACACGUGCUACAAUGGGGGGUACAGAGGGUUGCCAAGCCGCGAGGUGGAGCUAAUCCCAUAAAACCUCUCGUAGUCCGGAUUGGAGUCUGCAACUCGACUCCAUGAAGUCGGAAUCGCUAGUAAUCGUGGAUCAGAAUGUCACGGUGAAUACGUUCCCGGGUCUU
rnacentral:rRNA from 1 species